rnacentral:lncRNA from 1 species
GCGGGUAUCCGCAGAUAAAAUCCGCCACGGGUAGUUAGUACCCGCGGGUAAAAGGUACCCGCGGGUGGCGGGUAGCGGGUUUUAUAAUACCCGCUUGUUAACGGAUCGGGUUCGGAUAUCACACUAUCCGUACCCGCGGGUACCCGCAACCUGUCUUACCCCUUUAAAUUAUUUUCUAAGAUAUCCUGCCGUCAAACCCUAGUUUCAAUUUCAUUACAUUCUUUCUCUUUCUCCUUCGUUUUCUCUCCACCGCGGACG